rnacentral:rRNA from 1 species
AUUGAACGCUGGCGGCAGGCUUAACACAUGCAAGUCGAGCGAGCGGCGGACGGGUGAGUAAUGUAUGGGAAACUGCCUGAUGGAGGGGGAUAACUACUGGAAACGGUAGCUAAUACCGCAUACCAUCAGAUGUGCCCAGAUGGGAUUAGGUAGUGGGUGGGGUAAGGGCUCACCAAGGCGACGAUCCCUAGCUGGUCUGAGAGGAAGACCAGCCACACUGGAACGGAGACACGGUCCAGACUCCUACGGGAGGCAGCAGUGGGGAAUAUUGCACAAUGGGCGCAAGCCGGAUGCAGCCAUGCCGCGUGUUUGAAGAAGGCCUUCGGGUUGUAAAGCACUUUCGGCGAGGAGGCGUUACGCGCAGAAGAAGCACCGGCUAACUCCGUGCCAGCAGCCGCGGUAAUAC